rnacentral:rRNA from 1 species
GUUAGGAAUAUUGGACAAUGGGCGCAAGCCUGAUCCAGCCAUGCCGCGUGAGUGAUGAAGGCCUUCGGGUUGUAAAGCUCUUUAGCCGAUGAUUAUAAUGACUGUAGUCGGAAAAUAAGCCCCGGCUAACUUCGUGUCAGCAGCCGCGGUAAUACGAAGGGGGCGAGCGUUAUUCGGAAUCACUGGGCGUAAAGCGUGCGUAGGCGGCUUUGCAAGUUGGGAGUGAAAGCCCAGGGCUCAACCCUGGAAUUGCUCUCAAAACUGCAAGGCUCGAAUUCGGGAGAGGAUAGCGGAAUUGUCAGUGUAGCAGUGAAAUGCGUAGAUAUUGACAGGAACACCAGUGGCGUAAGCGGCUAUCUGGACCGAUAUUGACGCUGAGGCACGAAAGCGUGGGGAUCAAACAGGAUUAGAAACCCCGGUAGUCC